rnacentral:rRNA from 1 species
GUGCCAGCAGCCGCGGUAAUACGGAGGGUGCAAGCGUUAAUCGGAAUUACUGGGCGUAAAGCGCGCGUAGGUGGCUUGAUAAGCCGGUUGUGAAAGCCCCGGGCUCAACCUGGGAACGGCAUCCGGAACUGUCAGGCUAGAGUGCAGGAGAGGAAGGUAGAAUUCCCGGUGUAGCGGUGAAAUGCGUAGAGAUCGGGAGGAAUACCAGUGGCGAAGGCGGCCUUCUGGACUGACACUGACACUGAGGUGCGAAAGCGUGGGUAGCAAACAGGAUUAGAUACCCUGGUAGUCCACGCCGUAAACGAUGUCGACCAGCCGUUGGGUGCCUAGCGCACUUUGUGGCGAAGUUAACGCGAUAAGUCGACCGCCUGGGGAGUACGGCCGCAAGGUUAAAACUCAAAUGAAUUGACGG